rnacentral:tRNA from 1 species
ACCAGUGUAGCUCAGUGGUUAGAGUGUCAGCCCAAGCACUGAAGGGUCACAGGUUCAAUUCCUGGUCAAGGGCA